AUUGAACGCUGGCGGCAUGCUUUACACAUGCAAGUCGAACGGUAACAGGCCUUCGGGCGCUGACGAGUGGCGAACGGGUGAGUAAUGCAUCGGAACGUGCCCAGUCGUGGGGGAUAACGCAGCGAAAGCUGUGCUAAUACCGCAUACGAUCUAUGGAUGAAAGCGGGGGACCGUAAGGCCUCGCGCGAUUGGAGCGGCCGAUGUCAGAUUAGGUAGUUGGUGGGGUAAAGGCUCACCAAGCCAACGAUCUUUAGCUGGUCUGAGAGGACGACCAACCACACUGGAACUGAGACACGGUCCAGACUCCUACGGGAGGCAGCAGUGGGGAAUUUUGGACAAUGGGCGCAAGCCUGAUCCAGCAAUGCCGCGUGCAGGAAGAAGGCCUUCGGGUUGUAAACUGCUUUUGUACGGAACGAAACGGCGAGCUCUAAUACAGUUUGCUAAUGACGGUACCGUAAGAAUAAGCACCGGCUAACUACGUGCCAGCCGCCGCAGUAAAAC
rnacentral:rRNA from 1 species